rnacentral:rRNA from 1 species
GGAUAACUAUUCUAACGGAUAGCUAAUACCGAAUAUAGACGAUUGUUUAAUACAGUUGAUCGAAAGACAGCAAUGUCGCUGAAGGAUGGACUCGCGUAUGAUUAGCUAGUUGGCGGGGUAACGGCCCACCAAGGCGACGAUCAAUAGCCGGCCUGAGAGGGUGAUCGGCCACAUUGGGACUGAGAUACGGCCCAGACUCCUACGGGAGGCAGCAGUAGGGAAUAUUGCGCAAUGGACGAAAGUCUGACGCAGCAACUCCACGUGUGGGAUGACGCAUUUCGGUGUGUAAACCACUGUCGGAUGGGAAUAACGGCGCGAUGUUGAAUCGCGUAUGAAUGUACCAUCAAAGGAAGCAUCGGUUAACUUCGUGCCAGCAGCCGCGGUAAUACGAGGGAUGCAAGCGUUGUUCGGAAUCACUGGGCGUAAAGAGAGCGUAGGCGGGAAAAUAAGUUUGGUGUUUAAAGCAAGGGCCUAACCCUUGUGUGGCACUGAAUACUGUUUUUCUUGAGUAGGUUAGGGGUUAUCGGAAUUUCUGGUGUAGUGGUGGAAUGUGUAGAUAUCAGAAAGAAUACCAAUGGCGAAGGCAGAUAACUGGGACCAUACUGACGCUGAGGCUCGAAAGUGCGGGGAGCAAACAGGAUUAGAUACCCUGGUAGUCCGCACCGUAAACUAUGUUCACUAGACGUUUGUCCAGCAAUGGAUGGUGUCGCAGCUAACGCAUUAAGUGAACCGCCUGGGGAGUACGCCCGCAAGGGUGAAACUCAAAGGAAUUGACGGGGGCCCGCACAAGCGGUGGAUUAUGUGGUUUAAUUCGAAGCAACGCGAAGAACCUUACCAGGCCUUGACAUGGCGUCGCCGCAUUUAGAGAUAGAUGUUUCCUUCGGGACGGCGCACACAGGUGCUGCAUGGCUGUCGUCAGCUCGUGUCGUGAGAUGUUGGGUUAAGUCCCGCAACGAGCGCAACCCCCGUUCUUAGUUGUCAUCAUUAAGUUGGACCCUCUAAGGAGACUGCCGCGGACAACGCGGAGGAAGGUGGGGAUGACGUCAAGUCGUCAUGGCCCUUACGGCCUGGGCUACACACGUAAUACAAUGGGCGGUACAAUGGGUUGCCAAGUCGUGAGACGGAGCUAAUCCCCAAAGCCGCCCUCAGUUCGGAUUGUAGUCUGCAACUCGACUACAUGAAGCCGGAAUCGCUAGUAAUCGCGGAUCAGCAUGCCGCGGUGAAUACGUUCCCGGGCCUUGUACACACCGCCCGUCAAGCCACGGAAGAUGGGAGCGCUCUAAGUCGUGUGUCCAACCCGCAAGGGAGACAGCGCCUAAAGCGAGACUGUUAACUGGGGCUAAGUCGUAACAAGGUA